rnacentral:rRNA from 1 species
GAAACCAACAGGGAUUGCCCCAGUAACGGCGAGUGAAGCGGCAAGAGCUCAAAUUUGAAAUCUGGCCUCCCUUGGGGGGUCCGAGUUGUAAUUUGUAGAGGAUGCUUCGGGUGUGGCCGCCGUCUAAGUUCCUUGGAACAGGACGUCGUAGAGGGUGAGAAUCCCGUCUUGGGCGGCCGGUCCGCGCCCGUGUGAAGCUCCUUCGACGAGUCGAGUUGUUUGGGAAUGCAGCUCUAAGCGGGUGGUAAAUUUCAUCUAAAGCUAAAUACUGGCCGGAGACCGAUAGCGCACAAGUAGAGUGAUCGAAAGGUUAAAAGCACCUUGAAAAGGGAGUUAAACAGCACGUGAAAUUGUUGAAAGGGAAGCGCUUGCGGCCAGACUCGAGGGGCGGGGUUCAGCGGGUGCGCGUCACCCGUGCACUCCCCGUCCCCCCGGGCCAGCAUCAGUUUCGACGGCCGGUCAAAGGCCCCCGGAAUGUGUCGUCUCUAGGGACGUCUUAUAGCCGGGGGUGCAAUGCGGCCCGCCGGGACUGAGGAACGCGCUCCGGCUCGGAUGCUGGCGUAAUGGCCGUAAGCGGCCCGUCUUGAAACACGGACCAAGGAGUCUAACAUCCACGCGAGUGUUCGGGUGUCAAACCCGUGCGCGCAGUGAAAGCGAACGGAGGUGGGAGCCCUAGGGCGCACCAUCGACCGAUCCUGAAGUCUUCGGAUGGAUUUGAGUAGGAGCGUGGCCGUUGGGACCCGAAAGAUGGUGAACUAUGCCUGAAUAGGGUGAAGCCAGAGGAAACUCUGGUGGAGGCUCGCAGCGGUUCUGACGUGCAAAUCGAUCGUCAAAUUUGGGCAUAGGGGCGAAAGACUAAUCGAACCAUCUAGUAGCUGGUUCCUGCCGAAGUUUCCCUCAGGAUAGCAGUGACGAGAUUCCAGUUUUAUGAGGUAAAGCGAAUGAUUA